CCUACGGGGCGCAGCAGUGGGGAAUAUUGGGCAAUGGGCGCAAGCCUGACCCAGCAACGCCGCGUGAAGGAAGAAGGCUUUCGGGUUGUAAACUUCUUUUAAGAGGGAAGAGCAGAAGCCGGUACCUCUUGAAUAAGCCACGGCUAACUACGUGCCAGCCGCCGCGGUAAUACGUAGGUGGCAAGCGUUGUCCGGAUUUCCUGGGUGUAAAGGGCGUGUAGCCGGGCUGACAAGUCAGAUGUGAAAUUCCGGGGCGCAACCCCGGACCUGCAUUUGAAACUGUUGGUCUGGGGUAUCGGAGAGGCAGGCGGAAUUCCUAGUGUAGCGGUGAAAUGCGUAGAUAUUAGGAGGAACACCAGUGGCGAAGGCGGCCUGCUGGACGACAACUGACGGUGAGGCGCGAAAGCGUGGGGAGCAAACAGGAUUAGAUACCCCAGUAGUU
rnacentral:rRNA from 1 species